UACGGGGGGGGCAAGCGUUGUUCGGAAUUACUGGGCGUAAAGGGCUCGUAGGUGGCCAACUAAGUCACACGUGAAAUCCCUCGGCUUAACCGGGGAACUGCGUGUGAUACUGGAUGGCUUGAGUUUGGGAGAGGGAUGCGGAAUUCCAGGUGUAGCGGUGAAAUGCGUAGAUAUCUGGAGGAACACCGGUGGCGAAAGCGGCGCACUGGACCACAACUGACGCUGAGGCGCGAAAGCUAGGGGGAGCAAACAGG
rnacentral:rRNA from 1 species